rnacentral:sRNA from 17 species
AAUCAUCGAAGCGACGCACUCCUCCUCCCAGUGUCGCUUUGAAGGGAUCGGCGAUACUCCUCCUCCCAAUUGCCGAUCAAGUUCAAGAGCCCGACGCAUCCUCCUCCCGCGUCGGGCUCUUUUG